CUUGGUCAUUUAGAGGAAGUAAAAGUCGUAACAAGGUUUCCGUAGGUGAACCUGCGGAAGGAUCAUUAGUGAACGCCCUCACGGGCUUAUAACUAUUCCAAACCUCUGUGAACCGUGCCCUUCGGGGCUAUUUUACAAACAUGGUGUAAUGAACGUCAUAUAUCAUAACAAAACAAAACUUUCAACAACGGAUCUCUUGGCUCUCGCGUCGAUGAAGAACGCAGCGAAAUGCGAUAAGUAAUGUGAAUUGCAGAAUUCAGUGAAUCAUCGAAUCUUUGAACGCACCUUGCGCCCUCUGGUAUUCCGGAGGGCAUGCCUGUUUGAGUGUCAUGUAGACUCAAUCCCUCGGGUUUCCGAGAAGAUUGGACUUGGGUGUUGCCGCUCUGCCGGCUCGCCUUAAAAGACUUAGCGGGAUAGCACCGUAGUCGGCGUAAUAAGUUUCGUCGGUGAAGGUUGUGAUGACUGCUUACAAUCGCCCUCGGGCAAUUUUUGACUCUGACCUCAAAUCAGGUAGGACUGCCCGCUGAACUUAAGCAUAUCAAUAAGCGGAGGA
rnacentral:rRNA from 1 species